UUUGUCUUAUGYUCAUGUGAAUCUCMUUCGACGAGUCGAGUUGUUUGGGAAUGCAGCUCUAAAUGGGUGGUAAAUUCCAUCUAAAGCUAAAUACUGGCAAGAGACCGAUAGCGCACAAGUAGAGUGAUCGAAAGAUGAAAAGAACUCUGAACAGAGAGUCAAAUAGUACGUGAAAUUGUUGAAAGGGAAGCACUUGCUACCAGACACGCCUGCGGUCGAUCAGCCUUCACUCUGUGAUGGUGCACUCGGCCUGCAUUGGUGGGUCAGCAUCAGUUGUGGCGGCGGGAUAAAGGCCUGGGGAAUGUGGCUUCUCUCGGGAAGUGUUAUAGCCCUGCGGCGCAAUACCGC
rnacentral:rRNA from 1 species